CGAGUUCAUAAAUGUUUUACAAAAAUAUAAAUUUUGGAAAUCAAAUUUUAAAGAAACUGCAAUACAAUACUAUGAUUAUGCUAAAAAACAACAAUGUGAUAAGAAUAAUACUCCAAAAUCUCCACAGGAAUAUUGUAAUGAUGUCA